rfam:Parramatta River virus isolate 92-B115745, complete genome
CCCCCCGGUUGUGAAAACGAUUGCGACUAGAACUAAAGUCGAGAGUCUCCCCACCGAUAGGGGAGCUCGUCAGUUUGUUUUAGUCCAAU